rnacentral:rRNA from 1 species
AACGAACGCUGGCGGCGUGCCUAACACAUGCAAGUCGAACGUGAACGGGGGCAACCCUUAGUAAAGUGGCGUACGGGUGAGUAACACGUAGGUAAUCUACCCUAGAGUCUGGAAUAACCGGCCGAAAGGCUGGCUAAUACUGGAUAGAGCGACGGAACUCGUAAAGAGUUUUUCGGGAAAGGGAGCUCGCAAGAGCCCUCGCUUUAGGAUGAGCCUGCGUCCCAUCAGGUAGUUGGUAGGGUAACGGCCUACCAAGCCUUUGACGGGUAGCUGGUCUGAGAGGAUGAUCAGCCACACUGGAACUGAAACACGGUCCAGACUCCUACGGGAGGCAGCAGUGGGGAAUCUUGCGCAAUGGGCGAAAGCCUGACGCAGCCACGCCGCGUGAGUGAAGAAGGCCUUCGGGUUGUAAAGCUCUGUCGGGAGGGACGAACAUCAUUACGGUGAAUAGCCGUAGUGACUGACGGUACCUCCAAAGGAAGCACCGGCUAACUUCGUGCCAGCCGCCGCCGUAAAAC